rnacentral:ncRNA from 1 species
GGCCACCUUCGGGGGGCUUUACCAAAGGCGGUAAAACGCCAAAAUAGCAGACGGAAGACAGAAA